ACCACAGCAUACACGCGGCUCAAAUUAGCGUGUACCAAAAAACCUAGUCAUAGUAUUCUUGUUCUCAUGAUCAUUUUUCAGUGCGUCACAGUUUUUCGAUUUCUCUCUAAUGCAUUAAGUUAGAUGAGACGGAAAAAGCGGUAGCUCCGUGAUUAAACACAAAAAUAAUGCAGCAUUACAAUGGUUAUAUACAUAAGAUGUCUAUUCCUAACCUACGUUUGAUUCGUUGAUAUUUAGAAUGCGCGUUUUUUCUAGCCAAUCAAAUACACGUAUUACGAAUAUUUGACGAAAACUUCGUCCAUUUUGGCCAUUUUUUAGAAGUGUCAAAGAGUCAAGUGAGGGUUAUUAUUCAGGUCAGUAUUUUGUGUACCUGUCAUUUUGAAAUUUCGAAUUCGACUUCACUUGUGUUUCACAACGUCUUUGUGCAUUAUUUUGUGUUUUGGUUUAGAAUUUAGUUCGUUAAAAGUUAGUCAUUGGCGUGAGGAGACUAGAGACAUUCGAGAUGUACCGAAGAGUGCUAAAUAUCUCAUGAGUAGAUAGAAUUAACAGCAAGAUUACCAUCCGCUAAUUCAAUUUGCUCAGCAGAAGUAUUUGCCAUUAAAAAAGCAUUGGAGUUAAUCCAACAGAAUAAUUUUACCAAAGUGCCUCAUCUGUAGUGAUUCUAAGAGUGCUCUAGAAAAAAUCACAAGACCAAGCUACAAGGCGGCAAUAGACUCACAAACUCUCCAACUAAAACAAAAACUAUGUGAAUUUGAUGACCAACAUAGAGAAAUUAAAUUUGCAUGGAUUUCAAGUCACACUGGAAUUAUUGGGAAUGAUAGAGCUGACCAUCUUGCGAAUCUUGGAAGAAAGCUGCCUAUAGGCGAAUAAAGUUUAGACUGUUGCGCCAAUGCGACAAAUAUUGGAACUACUCAUAGAGGUAUAUAUUGACAUAGAGAGAGUGUCAUUCGGAGCGAAGUGACGACACCAUCUUUUUUCUUUGGAUUAGUGCUACUUCACUCUUACACAUAGUAAAGCUGCGACAGUAUGAUAAACGUCAUUUAAGUUAGGAGAAGUACGAAGUUAGCUGAUGUCUUUCCUGUUAUUUUUAUUUAGUCACUGACGUCACUGUUUACAUUGACAUUUAUUUGUAAAUGUUUUUAGACGAAUAUUCUGUUUGGUUUUGUUUUUUAUUGUUAAUUGUGCAGCGAAAUUGUGAUAGUAAAUUAAAUAUAAAGUUGUUUAUAGCCUACAGAACUGAAUUAUCCCAUAGUAAUUAUCAGUUUGUGUCAAUUUGUUUGUGUGUAAAAAAGAAAAAACACUUUUCCUUGUGUUUGACCGACUUGUAGCAAGGGCUUUCUUGAGAAGCCUGUAAAUUGCGGGAAUAGGACAGACAGGGAUAAAAUCCUCACUUUUUACUGUUCCCAAGGCUAUACAUUUCCCCCAUGCAAUACAUUUAAAUGAAUUUUAUCCAAACAAAGGCAGGAACAUUGGAUAAAAGCAAUAAAGAGAACAGACCACAAAUUAAAAUAUGACAGUAUGCAGUAAACAUUUAAUAAGUGGAAUAAACACCAGCUAUUUUAAAUGUAGGAAAAGGAGAAACUGCUGGAACCUAAUUUUACACAAAUGUUUUUGACUAUUGAAGAUUUGGAUAAACAACAGAAGUUACUUUGGGCUAUAGCUAUGUGCAGAUUUAUUUCCUUGUGGAUUACUAUGUUUAUUCUUUUUAACUAUACUUCCUAUAUUGUUUGUGAGAUUAAUAUUAUUAUUUAAUUGAUUAUAUUAAUAUUUUGUAAUAAUAAUCAAUGCUUUGGUUUAACAAAAUAGACAACUUAGAAUAGAACAA
rnacentral:lncRNA from 1 species